CUGCAUUGCCUAUCUUCACAUGGAUCUUUCCAUCGGAAAAUCAUCAUAGGCCUCCAUUCACAGUAUUUUUGAAUUUUUGAACCACUUGUUCUACUAACUGCGGAUUGAUGAAUCAUUGGCACAUUAGUUGUACUAUGUACCCUUCUCAAUGGAGGAGGAUGAAGUUUUGUGGCUGCUGCUGCUGUAGGAAUGAGAUGAUAUACCUCUUGACAACUUCACUGCUUAAAAAACGUGAGUUCCUGCUUGUGGCCCGUUGACCCAGCAAAGCGGACAGUGUCGCUGCAAUGCGUGCUGCUGGCCUGUUAUCGCUACGAAUCAAGUAAUCAACAGGUGUAUUUUGAGCUGUUGCCCAUCUCAGCUCACUUGUGGGAGCUUAUGUUCAUCCAUCUGGUUUUCUCACCGUCUCUCCCGUCUCCUCCGACGCCCCAUGAAUCCAUGAUGCAGUCCCUCAAUAGCCCGAUCUGGCAGUGAGGGGCUUGGUUUGAAUCCAGGAUGUGAGGAUGCCAUGGGGUCGCUGAGCUUGGGAGCGGCUAAACAGCUUCAGAGGUCGUCAUUUAAUAAUUAAUAUAAUAAUAAGUGUGCAUAUUUUAUGUUCAAAUCUUAACGUUAUGAAAUAGUAUAGGCAAGUACUUCCAAUUAUCUCAAUUAGUUAGGUUUUUCCGUAGCAAAGCAUGAGUGUUCUGCUAGUAUACUCGAUAAAUGCGGGUUUUGAUUCCCCUUCAGGCGUGUGUUUGGUUUGGGGGUGGAUGUGGGUUGGAACGAGUUCGACCCCUAUUAACCCCCGUUUGGUUGGAAAUGUAGUGGGUUGGGUUCGUCCCCCAUAGGGAAUAUUCCCCGUAGACGUGGGUCCAAUGCUGGGGAGAAGGAGGGGCGGCGGUAGGGAACAGCCAUCCGGUGGAGGAGAGGGGCGGCCGACGGCGCAAAGAGAGGGAGGAGAGGGGAGGGGCGACGCCGUGGAGGCCGGCGCGGGUGGAGGCGGUGCCCAAGGGAGCUCGGGCUCCGCCUAGGGAGCUCCGGCGGCCGGGGCGGGAGGUGUUGGAGGAGGUGGGAUCCAAUGUAAUGGUGUUAAAAUGAUAUCCAUCCCAAUCCUCUUAACUCCUUCAAUCAAACAAAAAAUUGGGUCCAACCCAUCCCUGCAAUCAAACAAGAGAUGGGUCAAACCCAGCUCAGAAAAGUGGGUCGGCUCUGAUCGAACCCACAUCGUUCCAAAACCAAAAUGCAAGUUUAAUUCUGAAACCUUAAUUCUGAAACCUCGACGAUCACGAGAUUUGAGCAAACUUGCAUUUUUUUUAACGAUAUAAAGGGAUGCAAUGUUGCACGAAAACGUAAGUUAGUCAUGACUCAUGAGCUUUUGAAAAAUGUUUUUGGAGGGGUAGUCCGAGACGUGGACAUGCAAAAAAAAAAAGAAGGGAAAAAAAUUGUAGAGGCUGAUGUUCUCUUGAGCCUUGAGGGCGCGAUUUGCAAAAAAAUAAAAAAAAAUAAAAAAUAUGCCAUUUGUUGAGAGUGGGAUUUGAACCCACGCCCUUUCGGACCAGAACCUUAAUCUGGCGCCUUAGACCAACUCGGCCAUCUCAACAUGGUGCUGGAUAAAAUAAAAUCUAAGUAUUGUUCAAUAUAGGACAGGUCCUGGACUAGACUGCUGCAGCUCCUCUUCCACCGCGGUCGGUUGAGUUGCAAACCAUCGGCUUCCCCCCUUCCCGCAGCCAGGCACCCGACCCGGAUGGCCGUUGCAAACCCUAGCAAUGCGAUACACUGAUUAGCUUCCUCCUUCCCUCGCCUGGGUUUGUGCGUGAUCUCUCUCUCUCCCCCAGCGCGCGGACAGCCAGGCGGAUAGGGGCGGGAUGGUUUCCAACAAGGAGCGGGCACGCCGCGCCAUUGACGCCAUGACGGCCCUGGGAUUCUCCAAGAAAGAGUCCACCCCCGUCCUCAGGAGUCUCCUCAAGCUCUUUGACAACAGCUGGGAGCCCAUCGAGGACGAGUGCUACCGCGCCCUCGCCGACGCCAUCCUCGACAGCCGCGACCGCCCCAAGGUAUUCGUCUUGCCCAAAUGGAAGAGACAGAAAGAAAAAAAAAUGUUUUUUUUUUGGUAUUAUUAUGGGAUCAAAGAUGGGCCAAAAAGGCCCUCUUUUGUUUACUACUCUGUUCCUGCCAGACUAAUUUAAAUGGCUUACUGAUGCUUCAUCACUUGCCGCUGCUUGGGUGCAGGAGCCGGAGCAUGGUAGCCACCAUGCAAGAAUGGUUGCGCCGGAGGAAGAUCACCACCAGCCUUCUACUUCCCUUAUCGUCUAUGGCCAUCCCCGUGACUUGGAUAGUGAGAUAGAGGCACCUCGCAUCAAGAGGCCUAGAACCAACUCUAAUAAUUUCUCAGCAGAUCACUGUAUUGAUCCUCAGUUGUCCCCGCCAUCUUCUGUUACUGCACAAGAGAGGGCAAGGCAGAUGAUGGAUGAAGAUUUCCAACAUGCUGUCUUCUUGAGAGAGCCUAAGCCUGAGCCUGAUAUAGAUGUUGCACAGAGCCUUCAUGAUGCUCAAGUUGGCAUUGUUUCCCAUCCGUUCAACACCAGCUCCUCAGGUGCUGCAGAUCCUCUAGCAUCGCGUCCAUCCGUUCAAAAUCAAACAGAGAUUUCAGGUUUGCAUGCAGCAUUCUAAUCGAUUAUUCUGUCAGUAUUUGUGCUAGAAAAUAAUAGGUCAUGGAGAUGUUCAUGUUUCAUAUGUAGAUCACGUUUUUUCACCUUUGGUGUUUGUUCCAUUGAGUUCUCGAUGCACAGGGAAAUUAGUUUGUUGUGUUGAGCAAUCAAUCUGGUUGUCGAACUAGUACUUAUUCAGUUAUUCUUGCUGUUUUUUCUAUGAUACUGUGACUAGUUUCCUUAUUCUGAUGAGAAUCUGCUAAACCUUAUAUAUAUAGGUAAUAAAGGCAGGCCAGUUCAGCAUUGUAGAACAAGGACAUCAUCCACUUCCUUUGUUGAACGCACGGGCAGCAUGGGGAAGCAACCUCAAAAUCGGGAAAGUUUGUCCGAUCACACAGCUGUGAUGCACAACACUGGGACAGGAUCUGCAGAUGAACGUACACAAGAAGCACCUUACUUGCACACUGUUGUAGCAUCAUCCACUAUGGGUGAUGUCAAGAUGUCAAUAGAAUGCAACAUAGACCCAUCGAAGUUCUGCAUGCCCAGUUUAGAAGAAGUUUUCAGGAUGGUUGAGGAUAAAUGCCUUCACUCAUACAAGAGUCUCCCACCAAAUUUUUCCGUUAGCAGCCUGAUCAAUGAGAUAUGCCAAUGUGUAGCACAACUGGCCAAUGGCAGUACUGCAGAAUAUAAUGUACAAUCAGAUUCUUUUGAUAAUGGCAGAAACUCGCAAAAGGAGUCAAUGAUGAGUGGUGCUGCACUCAUGAAACCAAUUGCUUCCAUGAAUAGCGGAGGCAUGAAAUAUAAAUCUGUAGAAGAUUCAUUGGUUUUAGAAACUUCAGAGAAUGGACAAGAAUAUUCAACAGUUCCUCAGCAUCUGGCACUUUCUCAAGUAAGGUGUACCCACGAUGUGUCUGAUAUAUCAAAGGGAGAAGAAAAGGUAAGGAUAUCAGUGGUGAACGAAUUUGGCAGCGAGAAAUGUCCACCUUCCUUUUAUUAUAUACAAAGAAACCUUGUUUCCCCGAAGGCCUAUGACAACAUCUCUGCUGCCGGAAUUGGUGACGAGGACAGUUGUGCUGACUGCUUCGGCAACUGCUUGUCUGCCCCUAUACCAUGUGCCUGUGCAAGAGAAACUGGGGGUGAAUUUGCAUAUACACCAGGAGGUUUGGUUAAGACAACGUUCCUUGAUGAGUGUUUCUCUAUGAAUUUAUUCCCAGAAAAACAUCAUAAGUUCUUCUGUAAACCACUGGAGAGGCCCAGGAAUGAAGCUCUACCAGAGCCUAGCAGACGCCAUCUUGUUAGGAAGGUUAUCAGGGAAUGCUGGAGUAAAUGUGGUUGUAACAUGCAAUGCGGUAACCGUGUGGUUCAACGUGGUAUAGCUUGCAACCUGCAGGUAACAUCUAAUGCUUCUGUAAACUUAUGUUGAUGAAUAUUUAUGUGGCUUGCCAUGAAUGGCUGUCAUUUAUUUCAUGAGAAUUAUACAGCUAAUUACAACAAUUUACCUGAAAUUGGAUAGAUCAGUGCAUAUAGAGUUCCUGGCAACUGUUAUUGGAUUUUCAGAUAAUUAGUGCAUAGGAUAUCCUUCUCAUUCUGGCCUCCCCUGUACCUUAAAAUAUGUUUGGAAUACACUACAGCCCUUUGCUUGUUUGAGACUUUGAACAAAAGGUGUUGCUUCGCAAAAUCAUGUUAGCUUGGUGCUGAGGAAUUGUCAGGCACCAUUCAUAGAUUUUCAGACAUGGUAUUUGUUAAACUGAACAUCAGCUCAACCCUUUCAGUAACAUGAAAACACAAUGGUACUUGUACUGUAAAUUUACACUCAUUGACUGAAAAAUAAACACAUUCUAGGAACACUUAGCUGAACCUGAUUUGGUUGAAGAGGUGUCAGAUUUGAAUGUACAAACCUGUAUGUAAAUACAGUUUGAGCACCAAACCUGCCAAGAAAGACAAAGGCACAAUCAAUACCAAAAGGGGGAAUUUCCAUCCAGCGAGAAUACGUUGGCCUGCGACGGGAUCCCGGCGACAAACACAGAUGGCAGCCUAACAUUAGGACCCGAUGGAGUCGACGGCGGCUUGAUGAUGAGAUCCUUUUGAUCGCACGUCGGCUUGGCUAGGAUGAUUGUUCCAGUCACGACCAACGAGCACAGUGGAGGGGUAGGGGUUGCUGUUGGUAGCAUAGACAUGCGAGGGGGGGGGGGGGGGGGGGGCAACGGCUUGGUGUCAGUUACGCAUUCCAUUCGUGACCAGCGACAACGGCAGAGGUGUUAGGGUUCCUGGUGGCUGUGGUUGAACUAGGAGGAGAGAGGCGCACGAGAUGCGAAUGAUGCGGGUGACACAGGGAUGGGAGCUGCAGCUUUGGGCGAAAUGGACCUGAGAUUCCAUGAGGGUUUAGACGUGCCUGGGCCUGUUUGUCGCCACAUCAUUUUUACGAGCAAAUGUGGACAGAGUGGGAGUGAAAUACAUGAAGAUUUGGGUGGUUUAGGCUUUAGGGUUCCGUCCUAAAUUGGAACUGUAAAUAAGAAGAAAUCUUUUGCACUUGAAUGGAUAUAAUAAAAAAACUGCAGCCAACCUAAGGCAGCAUUGCAAAUAAGAAGAAACAGAUACCCAGGUUUGCGUGGAAGAGGACUCGAACUUGGGUGGCAGGGUGUGUGCACCCACACCUCCCACCAACUGAGCUUAGUUCCUUCUUGGUCCUCUAAUAGUUUUCCUUUAUUUUUCUUCCGCAGUGUUCAGGUAUUAUUGAUGCUGGUUGGUUGAAUUGCUGCUAAUUACUUUCUUUCUUUUUUUUGCCCAGGUGUUUUUCACACAAGAAGGGAAGGGUUGGUUGAAUUGCUGCUAAUUACUUUCUUUCUUUUUUUUGCCCAGGUGUUUUUCACACAAGAAGGGAAGGGUUGGGGUCUACGCACACUUGAUGAACUUCCAAAAGGAGCUUUUGUCUGUGAAUAUGUUGGCGAGUUGCUAACAAAUACGGAGCUCCGUGAAAAGACAUCUCAAAAAGCGUGCAAGGCUGGGUAUACGUACCCGGUGGACUUGGAUGCUGAUUGUGAUUCAGAGGGGGUGUUGAAGGACAAAGAGGCUUUAUGCCUGGAUGCAACAUUUUAUGGGAAUGUUGGGAGAUUCAUCAACCACAGGUGUGCUCUGACUGUUCCCAAUCUGUCCUUGUUACUCUAUUAUUUUUUUAAAAAAAAUGAUAGCAGAGAUGAGUCUUCCCCUUUUCUUUUCUUAUGGUCGUAAUACUCCAUCACAUAGAUGCUACGAUGCAAAUUUAGUUGAGAUCCCUGUUGAAGUGGAGACCCCUCAUCAUCACUAUUACCAUGUAAGUUCUUAAAUUCUAAACUGCUGUGUCCAUACCACGCCUUUGAAAAUGUACAGCAUAGGCAUACCAUGCUGAUGUUUUUUAUAUUUUCUUUUUUCUUUUUUGUUAAUUGAAGCUUGCACUUUUCACAAACAAGAAGGUGGAGGCAUUUGAGGAGCUCACAUGGGUAAGGCUUGUGUAGUUUCUUAAUAUUAAAUAUUAACUUCUGUUCAUAUAUUCAAAGAUGUGUAUUUCUCAAGAUAAAUGUGACUGUCAAAAUCAAAGGCUGCAGAUGCUGUGAGCCUGUGAUAAUAAUUUUUUCCCCAUAUUUUAAGUUUUUGCUCUUGACAAAGGCUAGGGACUUCUCUUGCAAUUUCUGCUUGCCUAUAUUUAUUUUGAGGGUUCUGUAAUGUUUAUCCCAUGGGCAAUGGCUUUGUUAGACAUUCUUUUGUGUGGUUGCAAUGGUAAACCCUAAACCCAAAUUCACAAGUCCUCUUCGCAGUGCUAUACAAAUACCAGAUUUUUCUAGUUUAUUCUCUCUUUUUAGCUAAAUCAUAUUUGCGGCAAGCUUUGUUGGUUGCAUUUUCAGUGCCAUGCUAUGCAGUUUAUUGGAUCAGCCUAGGAUGCACUCUCUCCUAUCCUUGGUGGCUUGACCGAUCAAAACUAAUCUUGCUUGUUUCAGGAUUAUGGCAUCGAUUUUGAUGGUGAUAAACAUCGUGGCGGAACAUUUCAAUGCCUGUGCGGAAGCAGAUACUGCCGCGGCAGGAAGGGUCGUAGUAUGUUCUCCUUCUGCUUGGUCCCAGAACCAUUCUUUUUGAGUGAAUUCUUGCCGGGCUACAGAUUCUACUUUUCAUUGUGCAAGCGUUCUAAGAUGGUUCUUUCAAAUGACUGCAGGGAACCGAGGAAAAGCUGCUGCAAAAUAAGCUGGGGUUGAUGCGAAGCAUGGCUGUUUAGGUUAGCGAGCAAUCUAGUCAGUUGUAGCUUAGCAAGCCGGAAUUUUGUAUGGUCAUAAUUGAUGUUGGAGGGAUGUUUUUGGCUUGCGCGCGCGCGUCUGAGACAAAGCGUUGCUCAUAGGUUAGAUGCAUCAUUUAGCCGAAUGAAACUGCUGAACUUUUAAUCUCGCCCGGCGGUUUGAAUUUGUUUUCGAGUUGGGGGCUGGAAACGGAGGCCCACGACAUCUUCACAGGGCUAUUCUUCUGUAGUCAGUUUAGUUGUGAGUUUUUUGCAUAAUCGGGGGUGUUUUAGCAAAAUUUAUUGACGACAGCGUUUUUUUUAAAAAAUCAUAACAAAGAAUAAGUUAGGGAAAAAAAACUGUGAAGAUGUGGUGGGCGGAUCACGGCGGAUCAGGUCCAAUCAGGGGUCUCCCACAUGCCGAUGGUCAUGGGCUUUCGCCGACGGCACUCGCCGGCGCGCCACACGUGUCCUCCUGUGUGUGGGGCGUGCGCUGUCCGGGCCCGCUAAUAUGUAUGAAUCUAUAAAAGUCACAACAAUAUACGAUUUGUAACGGGGAAAGUAGUCUACUGCACGGGUGAGCCAUAUCUGAUGACAAUUCAAUCAUUUCCCAAACGUCACAGCGUCAGUGCUUAAUCCGGAUAAAUCCAACCCAAAAGAUUACACUUUUCGUCCCUUUUCUCCUCUCCCAGAGUCUCAUGCGUUAGCUACUUGAUGGCCUAACUUUGCCAUGCAUGCCAAUUCCAUAACAUAUCCGAACAAAUAUGUACAGUUUCCCACUUCAUCAUCUCCAGUGCUAUUUCUUUUUCCUAAUUAAAUAAUGUAAUGGCCUGCGAAGGUGCCUACACAGGUGGAAUGCACGUAGCAAUCCGCAAAAGGAACUGGGCGUAUCGAGCUCGAGAUGAGAGCAAGGGUGCUUAUUUUUAUUUUGUAGUCCUUAGAUAUAGACUAAUUACAAAACCUAUUGUACAGUGGAGAUUAAUUCGCGAGACGAAUCUAUUAAGCCUAAUUAGUUCAUGAUUUGACAAUGUGCUGCUACAGUAACCAUUUGCUAAUGAUGGAUUAAUUAGGCUUAAUAGAUUCGUCUCGUGAAUUAGCCUCCAUCUGUGUAAUUAGUUUUAUAAUUAACUCAUAUUUAAUGCUCCUAAUUAACCUCCGAAGAUUCGAUGUGAUGUGGACCUAAACUUUAAUUCAAGAUCCAAACAUCUCUAAUCAAUUCGCUUGCCCAUCCCGGUCGCUGUCCCAGUGAUCUGCCAGGUCAAACCAUUUAAAACGAGCUGAUCUCGCCGAAAGGGCCACCGCGGCUGCCUUUACCGCCAAGCCAUUGCGCGAGCACGAGCCUGCACAGCCCAGUUGACUUGCGCUGGAGGUUGGCGGAUGCGGGCAAGGUGGCACGGAUCGCGCGCGAGGUCAACGCAAAAGGCAGCAUAAAGAAACAGGGUGGGGCGAGGGCCACAAGGGCGCCAGGUAAUCACAGAAUUCGCCGUGUGAUCUGUAUUCUUUUGUUGGUUGAAGCGAUUGGAGAUUGGACAGCCUAAAGGCAUCCGGUCGCCAGCUCCAAUCGGUCGAUGGUGGCCUUUCGCGUGGGCGUGGAUACAUUUUUUUUUAAGGUUGGAGAUUGGAUACGUUUUGACAUGACUGUGGAAUAUCGCCUGUCAUUUUCACCGAGCAAAGCAUUAAAACUUUUUGCCCUUUUGCCCGUGGUUGUUCACUUUGAGAAAUUUUUACUGUUGUACUCAUUCCGUUUUAAGUUGUAAGUUAUUUUAACUUUUCUACAUUUAUAUUUAUAGAUAUUUAUAUAUAUAAUUUGAAAAAGUCAAACUACCUGCAAUUUGAAACGGAGAAAGAACGAUCAGUUAAUUCUGUGACGGUAUAAAUUCCAUUCACACAGUUCUCGGCUGAGAAGUUUUGUUGAGGACUGUGUUGUAAUUUUUCAUUUAAAUGAGGGUCUAGGUGGAAAAAAUUGUGCUAGAGAUCUUCUUAGAGGAGCCGUAGGCGAAUGUCCCGUCUCCCACUCUCCCUCUUCUCUUCUUCCAGGGAGAGAGCUCGAGCUCCUGCUCCUCUCACACCUCCGCCCGCCACCGCCCACCCCCACCCCCACCCCCGCCCCGCCCUCGCGGCCAUGGCCUCCUCCUCCUGCGACGCCACCGCCGUUCCCUUCACCCUCCUGGGCGCGCUCCUCACCGCGGGGCCAGCUGCCUGGCCGGUCUGCGUCGGCGGCGGCCGCGCCUUCCUCCGCGACUACGCCCAGCGGGGCACCAACGCGCUGCUGUGGGCGGGCCUUCUCGCAGUCACCUGGGUCCUGCUCCUCCGCGUCGCCGCGCUGCUCCGCCUCUGGGUCCUCGGCUCCCGCAUCCCGGGGCCUCACGCGCUCCUCGCAGACCCCGGGCUCGCCGCCGUCCUGCGCACCGGCGGCGACGUCACCGGUUGGUAGCCGAUCCCCUUUCCACCGUAUUUGGCUCCACGUAACCAGGAUUCGGUUCAAUUGGUUGGGUUUCGAUAUUUGGGUGGUGGUUAUGAUGGGAUUGGAAUAUUGGAUUUGGCGCCAGCGCGACGUCUGCAACGUGCCAAAAAAAAUUUCGUACGGGCUAUUUGAGAUGCUCGGGCGCCUAUGUGCCAUUUUGGGUACUGUUCGAUUGGGGACUGGAUGUGGUUGGAGCAAUUUGAUUCGAGAUUUGGUAGCUCCUACCUGAGAUGCCAAAUACUUGGUAGAGAUUUGGCUACGAGCUAGCUACUUGAGCAUUGAUCUAUUGGGAAAUUCGUGCUGUUUGAUUGAUUGAUGUGGAAUUUUGCUAUAGUAUAGGCUGAUCUGGGUGGGAGUUGCGGGAUGUAAUUUGACCAUCCGUUUUUGCCGAUUAUAUGCCAAAGUUAUGGCCUAUUUUACUGCCCCAGAGCCUGUGAGCUAGUGAUCCAGGUUUGCCUUUUUGUUUGGUUGCUCUGUUGGAUGAUAACGAGAUGUGAUCUGUACAAGUGGCACAAUAUUUUGUGUAAAGCAUUUAGGCUAGUGUUGAUGUUAUGGUAGCGGGACCGGCUCUAGGCCUUGGCCCACUGUAGUGUAGCGCGUGAACAGUACCGCGGGAUCAGGAUUAGUUUGUUAGCAGAUAAGAUUUGUUAGUUAUUUGGAUUAGAUUUGUUAGCAGGUUUUUAGGUGCCUAGUCUAUAAAGGCAGCCGUGAGUUAUGGGUUAGGCAAGCAGAAAAUAGAUCAAAAGAGCAUCUCAGAGCCUCCUGCGGGAGGGCAAGUUAGCCGAUCUAUCCUGCUGUUCUAGUAUCCAAUGAUCUGCCCACAACAGUUGAGAUAAAAUUACUUAACUGAGCUUUGCCACACAGCAAUUGCACUGCUUAGCACAGAGCACGCUUACCUUAAUUAUUGUUGUAUCGUCAUUACAUCAUGGUCCUACUCUUUUCGAUUCUUAUAAUUCGGGAAGAAAAACAGAAGAGGAAAUCAAUUUACCUUUUGAAGUUCUUGCUGUUUCGACAAAUCUCCCUCAUCACUAUUAGACUAGAUUUUUGUCAGUUGUAUGUCUACGAAGUUUUUACAGAGUUAACCACAUAUUCAAAAAUUUCCUGGGAAUGAGCACUUUUUGUAGAACUUACUAGGACAACUCAGAGAGUGUUGGGUUUGAAAUACUACCAGACAUAAAUGGGUAGCCAUAGGUAGAUGCAUGAUUGUUGAUAAAUAAUUUUUGGUCCCAUGCGAUCCAACAGGGAUAGUGCUGUUCUUAAUGAGCAUGGGCAUAGGAUGGCCCACUCGAGCACUUUAGACCCGUGCCAUCCAACGCUUCAGCUUACAAUGUUCCAGCAAAUAUUCAAGCCAUAUUGCUAGCAAAAUUACUAUUGUGAGCUACCAAUCUUCUGCUUUUUUUAAAUCAUUAUUGUAAAGAUGAAAAUACAUUAUUUGAUAUUUUUGCGUUGAUAUGGCAACCAAGGGUCCUUAUUUAAUAGUUUAUACAAUACAUCCGUUAAUUUAGGCUCAUGUUUUGCUUUGAACUUCAUUUUGCAGGUUUCCUGUCAAAAUUGCAUGGCAGCUAUGGCUCAGUUGUUCGCCUGUGGGCAGGACCCUCUCAGCUACUUGUAUCAGUUAGAGAUCCUACUCUAGUCAAAGAGGUUCUAACAAAGGCUGAAGAUAAGUUACCAUUGACUGGUAGAACAUAUAAUUUAGCUUGCGGAAGACUUGGUCUAUUCGUAUCCUCAUCCGAGAAGGUAAAUUGAUUUACUCUUCUGCUUUUUCUAUAGUGGGCUCUGCAAUAUUUCCUCUCUCUCGUUUCUAGUUUGUAUUGAUGCAUUUGUUUUAUUAACACCAUGUAUAUGCAGAUAGCAUGUUCCAUUGCUACUUUGAUUUGUUUAGUUCUUCUAACCGUCUUGUUCGGCAUUUUUCAGGUCAAAAGUACAAGAGAAUCUCUGAAAAUAUUUUUGAAUGAAAAACUUACAAUUGGUGUCGGUCGAAGUUCAUUCAAAGUUAUUGAUGCUGUCAUGGAUAGAAUCGACUCUAUUAUGUCCAAGGAUUUUCUGGACUGUAGAUCUUUCUCCCAGCACAUGUCCUUUAACAUCAUUGGUGGAACUCUUUUUGGUGAUGCCUUCUUCAAUUGGUCUGAUGCUGUUACUUAUGAGGAACUUCUUAUGAUGGUUGCAAAGGAUGGUUGCUUCUGGGCUUCUUAUGCAGUUUGCCCGUUUUGGAAGCCUAGCUAUAGGAGGUACCGGACCCUUUGUGCUAAGCUGAAGACGUUAACAGAGGGAAUCAUCAGAAAAUCAAGAGAUCAAAAUAGUUCACUUCACCACUUUGAUCAGAGGUCAUAUCUAAAAAGUGAAGGGAUGAUAAAAGGUCUAAAUAGAGGUGUUUUAGGUGAAAUGAUGGCAGGUCAUUGUCUCCAUGGGGCUGCUGAAGGAUCACUUAGUUCAGAAGAGGAAAUCUGUGGAAACAUCAUCGGUUUGAUGUUACAUGGUAUUUCCGCUUCUGCUAACUUGAUUGGUAACAUUUUGACAAGGUUUAUCUUGUUCCCAAAGUUGCAAGAUCAGGUACACAUUAAUUCCUUUAUUUUUCUCUGUUGCAAACUAUUUUGGUUGCUCUCUGUGAUGAACAAUUGCUGGUGUUGUGUUGCCCAUGUUAAUUAUUUGAAUAAGAAAGAAUCUCAAUUCGUGCUCCAUUUUUCUCAAGGAAAGGUUUAUAAAAUGUGACAUUAUUCGUCUACAAAAGUGUGGGGCAAUCUUGAAGACCCUUUAGCCAUAAUAUACUAGAAGGACGGGCCACAACCAUCCACCAUUUUUUUAUGAGUUACACCUCUUCACCCAUGCUACUCUUUUUUUGCAGAUACAUGCGGAGAUUGUUGCAGUCUGCGAUGAAUCAUCUGAGCUGGAGGUUGAUGAUGUGCUUAGGAUGCAAUUACUACUUGCUACUGUAUAUGAAUCUGCUCGCCUUUUGCCUGCUGGACCUCUUCUGCAGAGAUGUUCUUUGAAACAUGGUAUGCAAAUUUUCUAGACCUUUAGAAUGCGAUUGCCUAUCCUGAUUUUAUUAUCAAGAUCAUGAUAGUUUGAAGUUUGAUCCUGAUAUUGGUCCAUGCAUCUAGCUGCAAAAGGGCUCGUUUGUCAGCUACAGGUCAGUUUUGACCCACUUUCGUUUCAUUUUCCUUGAGUGCAGAUUUGACUCUUGGCUUGGGCAUCACUGUGCCAGCUGGAGCAAUAUUGGUAGUUCCUUUGCAUCUUGUGCAUAUGGAUGCUUCUGUGUGGGGCAAUGAUGCUGGCCAGUUCAAUCCUCAUCGGUUCCUCAAAAAGGAUGUGGAUCUUGGAGGUCUGUUCUCUCUUUUCUCACUUUUCUGUUCUAGCAAAACAUAAGUAACAGGUUGUUAAUAACAGGGCAUGCCUAAUAACAGCUCCAGAAGAUUCUUCAUUGAAUUCGUUAUUUUUGGUCUGCAUUUGUUAGACCUUUAGCAUUUUUUUUGCAUGACUAUUGUGAUUAGCCUCUUCCUAAUUCUAUUCUCACUUCAUUUUCUUCAUAUAUUGUAGAUAUAUUAGCAGCACCCAGAGGCUCAAAUGGGAUGAAUCUUUUCACCGAGUGUGCUAAGUCUGAGUCAUUUCUUCCAUUUGGUUCUGGAAGUCGAGCAUGUGUUGGCCAGAAGUUUGCGAUUAUUGCAAUAUCAAUGUUGAUUGCCAGUCUGCUCCGCAACUAUGAGGUUAGAUGCAAUAAUUGUUAUGCUUUGCCUUUUCGUGAUAUGUACACGCACCUUUUGGGAGAUUGUGAGCUGACUUGCUAGAUGGAAUUCCAUGCUUCUGGGCUAAGUAUUUACUCUUUUUCAUCAGUUUACGUUUAAACUUAGUGUUGAUUGGAACUCAACCUUGCAGGUACAGACUCAUCCAAGUUUGUGUAAAGAAAUGGAACCUGAAGUUCACAGCAGCCAUGUUCACCAUCUCCCAAACCCGAAGAUCAUCCUCACAAAAAGAAGGAUCUAACGGGAGGGUUUGGCAAAUUCAAAUUUGAUGCGUUUUCUUUCACUAUAUUCUUUUUUACUGGUGUCACACCAGGAUAUGCUAGUUUCAUACCGUCGUUGAAUCACGCUGAAGUUUGGAAAGGCGAUACUUUGCGAUGUGGAAGUUAUCUUUUUUUUCCUCCAGAUUUUUGACAGACCCAGUGUGCUUCGUCCGAUCUAGUUUUUGUUAGAUUUUUGGAGCACCCACGGGCUGUCAGAUCAUGGGAGGUGUAUGCUGAUGUGCAUAAACAAGUUGGGGGUUUUUAAGUUGGAGUUUUCUCCUCCCUCUAGGAGGAAUGUAAUGUCCAAUGUAUCAUGUUGUCUCAUACUAAUGUAUUGUAUGAUACAUGUAAACAUGUUUCAGCUGUUCCUACAGCGUAAUAAAUUGUGAAAAAAUUAUACAAAUAUCUGCUGUGUUGGAUUUGCUUCAGCCUUCAGGUAGUAGGUAGAGAUUUCUUUAAAAAAAACAGGGAGGUGAGGGUUAAAUGCAUAAUGUACUAUAUGUAAGCAACCAGCCAAAGCCAGUAAGCUACCGUAUACGGCAGUGGUCGUACCCUGCUACAGUGCUGUGAUUUCAGGAUAAGUUGCGGCACGACACGAUCAUGUUUCCGAUGCAGAUGACCAGGCGUCAGGCGAGUACUUCGCCGCGAACGGCAGAGCAAGCGCAGGACUGCGAUCGGAUCGGCGGCGUCCGGCAGAGGUGCAAGCCGGAAAUGCUGGCCCCCUCACCGUUGUUCGCCUUCCUGCACGGUGCAGGGAGCGGUGCGCCACCGACAUAUCGCUUGCCGCACCGACGACGACCACGUGCCGCCGCCGCUCGUCGCGCGACGGCUCAUCAUGAGAUUCUCCGGUCAAGCUCUCGAGGUCCAAUGGGCACGUGUAGGAGGAUCAUCCCAUGACCAGACCUUACAGUACGAGCAGGCGCAUGGCCCUGCUUCUGCUUGGCUCACACCUGCCCAGGCCGGCGCCAAAUGAAAUGAUCAGAGACGAGCAGGGGGGCCCUGCGUUUUAUGUCGGCGGCAGAUGGUUGGUUGACUGGCGAUCAAGUGCACGCAUAUUCCCAAGCAUUCAGCCCGUUCGGAAGUGAUUGGCAAGGAAAAGCCUAAACAAUGGCCGCAUAGGCACACAGCCGACGCCGAUUGCCGAUUGGCGGCACGCGCCUGGGCAGGGGACAAGGAUCGCGAGCUCUCAUGCCGUUCGUCUGAGACGCCAGCCAGGUCGCGGUAAUUCCAAAGAACUGCGUUGUAUUUGUUGUUCAAAACUCAAAAUCAAGCGCAAGAUCCUGAGCUCGCAACGAGAAUGCUUCUUGAAAUCCAUGGAGAUUUACUUCAAGAAAAUUUUGGAUCUGCGCCUGCCAACGCUACGCUAAACAAGUUGGUAUCGCGCAAGCACGCGGCUCGUAAUCUAUUACUCCGUAUUCAGUACGAUAAAGACCCCUCUCGCUGCAGUAACAAGUUUACUGGCGUACAGCGGGCAGUAUAAAAUACCCAGGCUGCACAGUGACAGUGAACACCCACUGUAGUUUCACACUUUCGCUCACUCUGACGGCAUCAGCUAGCUGCUGAUCGCCUUCGCAACAACAGAUGCGUAUGGCUCCUCGGGGUAGUAAUGGCAGCGGCGGCGGCACCAAGCUGUUGCUGUGCUUGCUGCUCGUCGCGUGCACCGGGGCUGCGGGGCAGGGGCUCCGGGUGGGGUUCUACCAGCAGAGCUGCCCGGACGCGGAGUCCAUCGUGAGGAACGUCACCUGGCCUGCGGCGGCCGCCGACCCCAGCCUCGCCGCCAAGCUUCUCCGCCUCUUCUUCCACGACUGUUUCCCGCAGGGUUGCGACGCGUCGGUGCUGCUGGACGGCCGUGGCACGGAGAAGGCGGCGGGCCCGAACCUGUCGCUGGGCGGGCUGGAGGUGAUCGACGCGGCCAAGGCGGCGCUCGAGCGGUCCUGCCCGGGCACCGUCUCCUGCGCCGACGCCGUGGCGCUCGCCACCCGUGACGCCGUCUCGUUCCAGUUCGGGCGGCUGCUGUGGCAGGUGGAGACGGGGCGGCGCGACUCCCGCUUCUCCGACGAGGCCGACGGCACCAAGCUCCCCAACCCGGAGUACGUGUUCCCGAUCCUCAGGGACUCCUUCGCCCGGCGCGGCCUCGGCGUCGCCGACCUCGUCGCGCUCUCCGGCGCGCACACGCUGGGCCGGACCACCUGCAUGUUCGUGUCCCCGAGGCUCUACACCUUCCAGGGCAACGGCGGGGUGGACCCGUUCAUCGAGCCCAGGUACGCGCGGGAGCUGAUGGGGCAGUGCACGAGCAUGGCGUCGGCGAACAGGGUCGUCAUGGACCCCGGCAGCGAGUUCGCCUUCGACACCAGCUACUACAGGGCCAUCAAGGCCAACCGCGGCGUGCUCCUCACGGACUCCGUGCUCACGCACGACGACGAGGCGGCGAGGCUCGUCGACGAGAUGCAGGACCUGGGCAAGUUCCUCGCCGCCUUCGCCGCGUCCAUCCAGAAGAUGGGCGCCAUGGACGUGCUCACCGGCAGCCAAGGCGAGAUCAGGAGGAACUGCCGUGUCGUCAACUACUAGUGUGUGUGACUGUGUGUGUGUGUGUCUUUGCUUGGCCAAUUGUGGUAGGAGUAGGAUUGCUUUAACUGAUUGUGAGCAUAUGAAGUCUUAUAUCUUAAGAAUAAAGAGCACAAUGUUGACAUGGAUAUCUUCAUUUAACAAAGGAACAUAGGCUUUAGCAAUUGUUCCGUUCUUCCUCCAAAAAAUUGACCGGAUUGGAAAGUGACGUCCUCCGUGCUCGCUGCCAGACUGCGGCUCGCAUGAUUUGUCCAUUCUCCGGACAGAACGCCACGAACGGCAGCAAAACGACGGCCGUCGCUGGGGGCCUGCGGCCUCACCGGCGCGAGGUCUGGUCAGGUCAUUGACGCCGCCGCCUUUGCCACGAAUGGACGGCGGCACGGCGCAGUCACGGAAGCAGGUCGUGCGGCGGCGCCACCUGUUCGGUAUGGAACGAGCCGACGCCACGACGGCAGCCCUUGGGCGGCGCGACGCUGCCGCUCGUCUGGCAGAACGCCGCGGAAGCGCCGAAGCUGAGAACAGCGGCCUCCGCCGCGGCCCUACCGGCACGAGCAUGAGGAAUCAAAGAGGCUCUCCAGGACGGUUGCCAUCGACGCGGGGGACGGCCAGGACGCGGCGGCGCACCGGCGAGACGUCGCGCGACUGCAUGAGACGUGCCGUGGGGUGGCCAGGGUGGUACCUUUUAACCGCUGGAUCGGAUCUGUGCGUCCGCGAUCAUCCCAAUUGCAGCCACCCGCCCUGCCUCCGAGAAGAGCGCCCUUGCCACGGCUGGCUGCGGCUCCUGCGCGCGCCAGCGGAGAGGCGUUAACGCUCGCCGCGUCGCUGGGCGGCCACGGCCUCCGACCCGCCGCCAAACUCUCCCAGAACAACGCCGUGCCACCGCCCGGCACAUAUUGGAGCAAGUUGAAGUGCGAUUUGGUGUAGUCGGCGAGCGCCGCCGCGACGGGUACGAGGCCGGGCACGACAGACGGCAUCAGCUGCAAUUCCUAGCUAAAGAUCGGGGUUCAGUUCCAUGUCGUUCAUGGAGGCGCGGAGCUCCAUCUCUACUUACCUCCAAGUUUCUACAGAUCCGACUCCCCUCUCUUUUCUCAUGAUCGCCACACCACCGCCGUCCUUGGCGCCGACGCCGGCGCGCCACCUCCUUUGCCGCGACGUUUGGCGCGGUCACAGCCGCCGGCUGAAUAGUCGUGGCUUUUGUGGCGCGCCACCUCACCUCUUCGGCAUGGAACGAGCCACCGCCACGGUUCUGCGUCCCGACGAGUCCCGCCGAACGCCACGGUUCACGAGCAGCUCGGUGGCAAUUGGUAACGCCGGUGGACAAGGACGCGGACGCCGGCGGACGUUCCUGAGGGCCUCCUUAUCGGCGUAAAAAGGGAUUCUACAAACGCAUGCUGAUGUUGACGCCGUGCAGCGGGAUGCGGCGGCGCUCCGGCGAGACGUGGGUGGAUGCUGAAUUGUGAAGCGCGAGCACGCUGGGGUGGACGGUAAAUGAAAUACCGUCCACCCCUUGGGUAUCUUACGCCCGUUGGAUCGGAUCUGGGCGGCCGCAAUUAACCCAAUCCAAGCCCCGAUCCGGCCUCUUCUGAAGAGCGGCCGCGCGCGCCAGCGGCGAUGGGAUGGAUGGCCGCGCUCCGGCGCCGGGCGGACACGGCGGCCUCCGACCAGCCGCCAGUAUCUUCAACGACGACAAAGCCACGGCGCCACCGCCACCCGCCGGUGAAAUGCACAAGACCCUCCGGUUUGGCGGUGCCUUUGCCCCCGACACGGCCGUCAGUUACAGGCUUGCUCGAAGCAGCACGGCACGGGGGCCGGCCGGUGCUGAUCUGCGGCGGCUAUAGCUUGUCUGGAUCGUCAACCGGUUCGAACCUUGGUAGGAUGUAAUGGAACGGCCAACGCAACGAUAUUUCCAAUAAAAAGUUGCUGAUGUUCGUCUGGAAGUAAUCGACCUGGGACGACGAAAUGGUCUAUUCAUUCCCAGCACAGCAGCAACAAGCUGUAGCUUGGGUGAUUGCAGUUGCAGAUGCCCGAGGACAAAUUAAUCAAUGGACAGAUUAAGCAAAAUUGUUUUGUAAUCAAUCUUUCUAGUAAAAAUGCUUCAGAAUACCCAUGAGAGCAAGUUCAAUUGAAAUCUUCGUGAUGCACAAAACCAGCCACACAAAUGUUGCUACACAAAUCCUACCAACAAAAGAAUCAGCACCAGGUUCAACGGCAGAACCGUAAGUGGCCCAAUUGGAAGCCCGGCGGAGCCGGCGAGUAUUCGCCGGAGGCCGGAGCCCGUGCUGGUGCUGAGCACGACGGCUCAAUCAUCAUAGCCGGCUGCGCGACCACAUGUUCGGCAUAGCCCCAACGUCCUCCGUGGCCCAUGUAAUUAUCGAAGAUGAUUCUUAAAUUAAAGUUGUCUCAGUGUGAUGAUUGCUAGACUAAAGGCUUAAGAUCAGUCUCAGUGCACAGUUUCAGUGCACAGUUAACAAGACCGAGAACUUGGUAACUGUGCCAGUUGAGUGUCAUGUGGAUGAAACUUCUCUCUCAUAUGAUGAAACUUCCUCUCGUAAUGGCCUUACCAAGUCAGUAUUUUUGCGACGUGGCAACAAAUUUAAUGCUCAUGAAACUCCUAUAAAAUUACUAUUGAGAUUGGCCUAAGAAUCAUGGGUUGAAAUACCCUCUCCUCUUCCUUCAAACAUUAAGCAUGUGAUAAUGGUUUAUGAAACUAUGAGAUCCAGUAUUUUACAAACCCUCCUAUUUUCGAUCCAAACUAGGGUUUAAUGUGUAAAAUAUCCGUACCAGCGACGGGCAGGGGAGGAGGCCGCGCCGCCACCGGCGGGCGGCACCAACCCCGUCGCGAUACAUCCCGAGCCACCGUCCCCGUAGGCGAGCUACGGCUUCGGUCCACCUAGAUGGCCGGGGGACAGCGACCUCAUCGGCGUGAGAUCCUUCUCGUCCUCGCACCAAGCGGCGGCGAAUGCCUGCCGCGCCGGACUACUGGAACUCGGCCAGAGAGCUGCUCCUGCGUGACGGCGCCAUGGGACGCUCACGGCCAGCACGGCGGCGGGUGACGUUGUGCGAGGCGCCGGGCUGGAGCGGAUGGCGGCGUGCGCGGCCAUGGGUGUUCGAGGGCCGUGGCGGCGUGGACGCGCUCUCUCUGACUCCGCAGCGAACGAGCCCUUUAUUCAGUCGAUGCUGAACGUACGUCUGAACGAGCCCUUUGUUCAGGCUUUCAGAUCUUGCACUAGGCAUUCCCCGUCCGUGCAGUGCAUGAGUAGCAAGGAUUUCUCGGCAUCAUAACAGCACGUUCGAGGCUAGGGAAGGCCUUGGAAGCAAGAGGGUGCCGCAUUGUGUUGGUGCACGCUCAUCACAUGCCUCAACUGAACAACAACAUGCUGCAGCGCCACACACUUGGCAUCAUCACUAGGCGUCAUCAGGCAAACUAGCUGCGAAAUUGCAACAGCCAGAGUUUAAGUAGUGGCGUGCCCUCCUGUUUCUUUGAAACAAACAGCCUGAGUUGAAGGUAUAGACCCGGCCAAGACAGAUGUAUGAGUUUCUUCAUGACUUCAGGAAAAGGGAAAUUCAGGUCUCUGCCUUCAGUUUACAAGUGAAGACAGAGAGAAUUCCUUCCUGGAUAAUGGCAUUGGCUAAGCUCGGUCCAAACAAACACAGACGGACUAAAGCUAAAAGGUGAAGAAGAUUAAGAGUGGUUUUGUAACCGUUGCAUCUUUCAGAUGACUCCUUGGCUUCACACUCUUGGCUGGAACCAGAGACGAGCACUUGCAGAUAUAUUAUUUUUAUUGACAUCUUUUAUGUGAUGAUUAGUGAAUCGAGAAGUAGAUUGAUUCCUUUCAACAGUUGCAUCUAUCUACCAUCAACAUCACAUGAUAGAACCAUCAACAUCACAUGAUAGAAUUACCCACAAUAUUCACUUAAUUUUAGACCUGGAUAUCAACCACAUUCCCCACCAGGCCAUUCUGCUCGGCCGUUCCUGCUGAGCCAGAUGUUUCCAAAUACGUCGUGAAACUUUGGAGCUUCAAUGCCCAAACUCCUGAAGAAUUGGGUGAUCAUGGAUUCAUGGCUGUCUCUCAUUCUUCGAACCUUCGCCUAGGAAUCCGCUGUGUUCCUUCGUAAUCUCCACUGGCUUAGCAAUUUCAUUGCCAGCUCUAUGAAUGAGCAUCUCAUGGUUUCAGACUUUCAGUCAGGCUUCUUCUGUCGACCACGAUUGCUUGGAACGUGAAUAUUUGGACAUGUAAAUGGAUCAUUUUCUUGGUUUAGCAGCAGCAACGAGGCACCUGAGACCUGAGCUGCAAGAAAUCCUCACCCCUGCAGCUCAACCUGCUUAGUUCAGAAAGAUCUUGGGGUCUCCGGUCAACCACGACGGCCGCUUUGCUAAUCUGCAGAAACCCGCCGGACGGCGCGAUGGGAGGACCCAUCUCGUUCUGUACGUCGGCACACCCAAGUUGGGCAGACGAGCGCGCGCGGCGGAUUGGAUCGUCGACAUGGGAGCCGGCGAAGCGAAUGACGGGGUUCCUUGCCGGCGGCCGCACAGCACCCACUGAAUCUCCGGCAUCUCCUGCGGGACGGGGACGAAUUGUGAAGAGAUGAUUCUAGAGUUUGAGGCGGAAGGGUUGGGCUGCGCAUUGCGCUCGCACUGUACGGGAGGUGCGCGGCUGCCGGCGCCGGCGGAUCGCCAUCAAUAAUCCAAGCUGAGGGAGGGGGAAGAGGGCUUUUACGUAAACUACCAGGGGUGUUUUAUACAAAAUAUUGGAUCGUUUCGCGAUCCAAAAUGGGGGUUUUAUGUAAACUUCUGGUCCUGAUAUUUUCACACGAGCUCCUAAUUUGGAUCGUGACUAUUAAUCGUAUCCAAAAUAGGGGGGUUUAUGUAAAAUACUGGACCACUAUUUUUCAUAAAACCUCCUAAUUUAGGUCGCGACUAAAUCGCGAUCCAAAUUAGGAUCUAAUCUGUAAAAUUUUGUCAGCCAUAUUGCGGCGGCGGUUGCCGGUGACCCGACGCCAACCCCGUCGUCAAUUCAUCAUCUAUCCAGCGUCACCGUCCCCGUCGGACGUGCGACGGGGCAAAUUCACCGCAUUGGCCUACCUCAUUAGCGAAAGGUCCUUGUCAUCCUCCUUGUACCAGUAGGGUGGUAAAUGACCUUCUAAUUUAACAUAGCAAAUUUAAGGAUCGGGUUCAAUAAAGAUCAGGUCAUAAUAUUAUAUGAUUAGGUCAUAAUAUUAUAUGAUUUUGAACCGUAUACUGAGUUGGAUGGUGAAUAAAGCAUGAGGGUCAUAAUCCGUUACCACCCCUAGGUACUAUGCGGCGGAGAGAUUGUACGCUCAUCCAGGAGGAGGUCGCCUGCGAGAUUGUAACUCCAAGUAUAUUCCAUCGGCAGCUCCAAGUAUGGCAUUCACAUUCACAUAAUGUUUGUGGAGCUAGAACUGCAAAUAGCAAGUGAACGAAAUUGGGGCCACGGACAACUCCAAGAGACAGGCAAGGAUCUCUACCGUCUCAUUUCUAGUGAAAACAUGAGUUCUAAAGCAAAAUCCACAUGGGUUUCUCAAUAUUUAUUUGUCAGAUCAGGUACUGUAGGAUUCUGGAUUGUAGAUUUGAGCAGCCAUACAAUUGAUAACAGCAUCAGGAGAGAGCGGCCAACAGGUUAAGCUUUUAGGAACAAUCACAAAAUUGGUGAAUAUCAGGGUGUGAAGCAAUCAUAAAUCAACCAAGGAGAUUCAAAUAUCAAACUGCAGUCAAUUGCAAAGGAAAGACGAGGGUUUAUUAUAGAAAGUGGGAGCCUGGACCAGAAAUAUAGGUGUCUCUUCCGAUGAUAAGAGCUGGCACAGAAAAGAAUUUGGUACUGACACAAAAAUACGGACCUGGAUCGGAUGCAGUGAUAAAUGUUACUGCAACUUAGGGGCUGUUUGGCAAUUGGUGUUAAAAUUUAACACCCAUCACAUCGGAUGUUUGAAUGCUAAUUAGGAGUAUUAAAUAUAGGCUAAUUACAAAACUAAUUGCACAGAUGGAGUGUAAUUCGCGAGAUGAAUCUAUUAAGCCUAAUUAGUCCAUAAUUUGAUAAUGUGGUGCUACAGUAACCAUUUGCUAAUGAUGGAUUAAUUAGGCUUAAUAGGUUCGUCUCGCGAAUUAGCACGGGGUUCUGCAAUUAGUUUUAUAAUUAGCUCAUGUUUAGUUCUCCUAAUUAGCAUCCGAACAUUUGAUGUGACACUGUUAAAGUUUAGCACCUCGUAUCCAAACACCCCCUUAGGGUGCGUUUGAUAUCAUGCGCUAAUUUAGUCCUGUCACAUCGGAUAUUCGGAUGCUAAUUAGGAUGUUUAAAAAUAUGAGCUAAUUACAAAACUAAUGGUUAAAUCGCGAGACGAAUUUAUUAAACCUAACUAAUUUAUCAUUAGCGAAUGAUUACUGUAGCACCAUAUUGUCAAAUCAUGGACUAAUUAGGCUUAAUAGAUUCGUCUCGCGAUUUAGCUUAGGGGUUGUACAAUUAAUUUUGUAAUUAGUCUAUAUUUAAUACUCCUAAUUAGUGUCAAAUAUCCGAUGUGACAGGGGCUAAAGUUUAACGCUAGUCUCCCAAACACCCCCCUAAGCAGUAUCACUAACAUCUGCCGUCCAACAACCACUCAACGCUCCGGAUUGAAUGUCCUUCUCAAGACUCUUCUUCCUCCUCCAUCCACUGCAUCCAUCCUACGGCGAUUUGGCUCACUCAGUCCAUACACAGCACCAAAACGAAAUCACUCUAAGAAGCCAUGGGUAAGAGAGAGGAUGUAUGAGCAGCUUGGCUAAAACUCUCUACUCCACGUACAGAUUCUCCUCCUUCUCCCCUCCAUGAACCAAUUCUUCUUUGUUUCUCUAUUGACUUAAAUCAGAAAACAAGAAACAAAAAAAAAACAAAGAAACGUUACAAGAACAAGAACACCGUCCCCUGUUACAUGCAUUCAUUUCAUUGGCUGCUCAAAUCCAUCGGAUCACCAAGCCAUUCUCAUCAGCUUAGCUUCCUCAGAAGUCAAAAUGGCAGCUCUUGGCGCUCAUCCUGUAAAUCUUAAGCACC
rnacentral:lncRNA from 1 species